rnacentral:tRNA from 2 species
GCGGCUGUAGCUCAGUGGAUAGAGUAUUGGCCUCCGAAGCCAAGGGUCGCUGGUUCGAUUCCAGCCAGCCGCGCCA